UUUAAGGUCUUUCCCCUUCGUGAGGAAAGACCUUAUUGUUUUUCUAAUUAAGGUCUUUCCUCUCCGCGAGGAAAGACCUUAUUGUUUUUCUCCUGUUUUUUUUUUUUUUUUUUUUUUUUUUUUUUUUUUUUUUCAUCCAGCAUUUGUUUAACAUGGCCUCCCCUUGUUUCUAUUGGAGUUAUCAAGACCAAAUAUGGACCAUCGGUAGACCUCAUCAUGAAGUAUUACCAGAUGAGGCUGUGUAGGAUUUCAUCAUCCCCUUUAGAAGUUAUCUCCCUUUUAUUGGUUUUUUUCGACAUGGGCCCCCCUCGUUGUUUUUGAAGAUAUCAUGACCUUAUUUGGACAAAAGUUAGAUCUCAUCAUGAUGUGUUACCAUAUGAGGCUGCUAAGGAUUUCAUCAUUCCCUAUGAGAGUUAUGUCCCUUGAAGCAAUUUCUUUCUUUUACAUU
rnacentral:lncRNA from 1 species